rnacentral:rRNA from 1 species
GUGCCAGCAGCCGCGGUAAUACGGAGGGUCCAAGCGUUGUCCGGAAUCACUGGGUGUAAAGGGUGCGUAGGCGGACUCGUAAGUCAGAGGUGAAAGCCCGCGGCUCAACCGCGGAACUGCCUUUGAUACUGCGAGCCUUGAGUCCUGGAGGGGUUGGCGGAAUUCGUGGUGUAGCGGUGAAAUGCGUAGAUAUCACGAGGAACACCGGAGGUGUAGACGGCCAACUGGACAGGUACUGACGCUGAGGCACGAAAGCGUGGGGAGCGAACAGGAUUAGAUACCCGCGUAGUCC